GUGCUCGAUUUGGUAGCACAUAUGCUACAAUUGGGACAAUACAGAGAAGAUUAGCAUGACCCAUGUGGAAGGAUGACAUGCAAAUUGUGAAGCAUUUCAUGUAAAA